GCGAAAACUUUACAAUGUUGGCAACAGCGAUAAGGGAACCUCGAGUGCCAGGUUACAAAUCUGGCUGUCGAGAUGCCUAAAAAGCAUUUCAUAGCAAGGGCCGGGCAAGACCGGUGCCAGCCGCCGCGGUAACACCGGCGGCUCGAGUGGUCACCGUUAUUAUUGGGUCUAAAGGGUCUGUAGCCGACCGGAUAAGUCUCAUGAGAAAUCUGGCAGCUGAACUGUCAGGCUUGCAGGAGAUACUGUCUGGCUCGAGGCCGGGAGAGGUGAGAGGUACUUCAGGGGUAGGGGUGAAAUCUUGUAAUCCUUGAAGGACCACCAGUGGCGAAGGCGUCUCACCAGAACGGACCUGACGGCAAGGGACGAAAACUAGGGGCACGAACC
rnacentral:rRNA from 1 species